GACGAACGCUGGCGGCGUGCUUAACACAUGCAAGUCGAGCGGUAAGGCCCUUUCGGGGGUACGACGAGCGGCGAACGGGUGAGUAACACGUGGGUGACCUGCCCUCAGCUCUGGGAUAAGCCUGGGAAACUGGGUCUAAUACUGGAUAUGACUCCACGGUGCAUGUCGGUGGGGUGGAAAGCCUUGUGCGGCUGAGGAUGGGCCCGCGGCCUAUCAGCUUGUUGGUGGGGUGANGGCCUACCAAGGCGACGACGGGCAGCCGGCCUGAGAGGGCGACCGGCCACACUGGGACUGAGACACGGCCCAGACUCCUACGGGAGGCAGCAGUGGGGAAUCUUGCGCAAUGGGCGAAAGCCUGACGCAGCGACGCCGCGUGAGGGAUGACGGCCUU
rnacentral:rRNA from 1 species